CGGUUAUUAAACAUCCGGAUUCAACGAUUUUACAACGAAGGGAAAUGGCAUCAAAACAUGAUUUUACUGAAACAUGAAACAGGAAGGAGAGGCAUCUGCGAUAAAAUUGAUACAUUUAGCUGUGAACUCCUGAGAUCUGGGAAAGAAACAUUUCUGGAAAUUCAA